rnacentral:lncRNA from 1 species
AGGUGUGGCCAGCUAUAGUCUAAGCAUCUCUCACGAUUGGGACCUCACGGACCUUCGGACCUUAAAGGUGAUUUCCUGCAGAACGGAAAGUUCUCGCCGGAGUUCAUGGCUAACAGUUAAGUCACAACUUCCAGGCCCCCCCACCCCCACCCCCUUACCCGAUCAUCUCCCAAGAAUAAUAAUGGAUAAUCCAAAAUAAGAAUAGAAAGAGUUUUAUUUGAGCCAAACUAAUGAGUAGACUGGAAGCUCCUUUCCCAGAUUACUCUGAGAAACUGCCCCAGCGAAGCAUCGUUUUCAGUGCAGUUUUGCAUUUUGUAAGAACAAAGAACUUUAUACAAGUCAGGGUUACAUUUCUUCUUUUUUUUCUUUUUUAAGGACCAGAUGAUUAAUAUACAGCAGGUCAGCAUGGCCUUGGCACCUGGAAAGCAUCUCUUAUCAUCACAUCAAAGGUGUCCCAGGAAGAGGGGCAUUUAAUCUUUAUUUUUAACAUGGGCAUUUUUUACUUCUGGUCAGCGUACCCUUUCCUUUAAUUAAAGCAGAUGUACAAAGUGUGUUUGAUAGACCACAAACAGGCUAUUUUAGUUAGGAUAAAAUUCAAGUUGUGUAAUGUUUAAGCCAGAAUGACUUCCCUAUAUAUCUCAAAAUGUGAACACUUCUUUUAUUACUACUCUCCAUCUCAGUGCCUCUUAGACAGGUCUAAACUACAAGCCCAAGAGGCAUUUUUUAAUUUCCUCAUUCAUUCAUUCAUUCAACAAAUAAGUCCCAGGCACUGUGCUGGGCUCAUAUCCUUGAGGAACAAGGAAGAAGUCUCUACCUUCCUGGGGUCAGAGAGAUUGACAACAAACACGUCAACAAAUAAUGAAUCUGCAAGGUCCCCAAUGUACUAAAUGGAUUUCCUUUUUCUAAACCAGUGUGUGAAAAAUUUCAGGUGUCAAAGUGAUAGUCAAAAGAUGUUUCCUCAAGUUCAUGCAAGACAAAGGGAUAUAACAAGAAUGGAUAAACAACAAGGUCCUGCUGUAUAGCACGGAAAACUAUAUUCAAUGUCAUAUGAUGUCAUAAUGGAAAAGAUAUAUAUUUAUAUCUGAAUCACAUUGCUUUACAGUAGAAAUCAACACAACAUUGUCAAACAACUACACGUAAAUAAUGUUUUUUAAAAUGGUGUGACAAAUUUGAAAUUUAAUGUGUGAUCCUAAUGGGUCCUGGAUCAGAAAAAUAAAAUUUAUUAUAAAGGACA